GGGGCCUCUCCACCAGCCCAGCUAAGGAAAGGCCUGCUGAAGGAGCUUGAGAGGUGGGACAUGGCAGACUAAGUGUCAGGAGAUACUGCUCUUCAGAGAACCCAUCAUGUGGAACUAAGCCAAUGAGACCAGGGAUCUGUGCACCCAGAGAGGUGUCCGUGGGCCCAGGUGACAACCUUGGUCCUCCUUGGAUCCCCGCCCUGCCAGACCUCAUUCCCUAGGGAAGUAGUGCUCUCUUCUCUCCUCAGCAUCCCCCUUCAGACACGGAGCCAAACUCUAAACUCACCCAAUCCUAUUAACCAAGACUCGCUCCAGGGAGUUCACCGCUUCUGCCUCACCUUUCCGAGGCCUUGACGUUUCCACAGCAACAGAAUGAAGUCAGUAUGAGGUGUGACAGGAACAGGAGAAGCAACCCCUGCACUCAGCAAGGUAGAGUGGGCCAGUGUCCAAGAGCACUGAGCCAAAGCUCAGCCAUGGUUCCGUAGCGCUGCUCAGAAUGGAGAGCACCUUCCGCAUAGUGACUCACACAGCUGCCAGGAGAGCUGAGGCUGUGUGGGCCUCGCUGUAAGCAGCAUCACUGCAUCACAGAGCAGGGAAGAGUCAUAGAGGGUUUGUGAGUGCAGGGAGGAGGGUGAGCCUCAAUACUCCCCUCCACCAGCACCCCUCCAAGUCCCAGCCGAGGCAUCUCUGCCCAAGCCUGCUGCUCCAGUCCCAUCCUGCUUCCCUGUGUGCCCUCUCUCUGGCCAGGGUCACAGUGUGUGUGUGUGUGUGUCUGUGUGUGAGUGUGUUUGUGUCUGUGUCUCUAUGUGAAUGUGCUUGUGUGUAUCUGUGUGUGUGUGUGUAGUGUGUGUCUGUCUUUGUGUGUGUGUGUCUCUGUGAGUGUCUGUGAGCGUGUCCGUGUGUGUGUGAGUGUGUGUGAGUGUUUGAGUGUGUGUGUGUGUGUGUGUGUGUGUGUGGCUUCACCUCAGCUCCUUAUGGUUCUGCUACUCUCAGUUAUGAUGUCACACACCAGAAGGCCAGCAGCUUCUGGAACUGGAAUUCUUGCUUCUGGCUGGAUUUUUAGUCUCAGGCACAAAUGUCUUCCAGUACAUGUCACCUAUGAAAUAGCUUCUUUUCACUCAGAUUCAUUCCUUUCUACAUUUAUAAAUGCUGAUGAGAACAUUUUCAUGUUCCUGACAGUACUUUCACAUCUUUAAUCGGGGUG
rnacentral:lncRNA from 1 species